rnacentral:lncRNA from 1 species
AAAUUAUUCAGAAUGGAAAAAAAAGUACUCAGAACUCAAAAGGACAAUAAAUAAUACAUUAAAUUUUAGGGGAUUCGGGACUUCAAUUCUCACCCUACUCUUAUCCUCUUGGGCGGCACUGUUAAUGGAUCUUCUCAGCCACAAAAUAUGCAGUAGGUUUCUUUAGAAAAAUGUAACGCUAGUUAUUAAAUAUUGUGAUGUUAUUAAUUUUGUUUUGUUGUCAAUAUGAUAUGAUCCAUAUCAACAUGGGGAACUUAAUCAAUGAGAGAAAGACCAUAGUGAUGUUCUUACCUCUCUCAUGCAAACUGAGACAGUGCCAAGUGGAAGCCAAAUGCCAUCUUCCUCUUCUUAGAGAAGGUCACAGGGAACAACAACGCUACACAAAGUAUAUACAAUGCUUAAUUUACUAGUGCAUGCCUUUUCCCCAUGUCUUUUGAAUCAUGUAUUCAUAUAUAACCAUUGUUCUCUUUCAUCAUCCUAAUAGAUCAUUUACUGCAUAAUGAUGUGCAAGAAAAUGUUUCAAAUAAACCACUCAAAAACCGAAAAGGUCAACCUACCAGCUAAAAUUUUAAUGAGC